rnacentral:snRNA from 1 species
AUACUUACCUGGACGAGGUCAAUGGGUGAUCAAAAAGGCCUUGCCUAGGCUUGUGACCUCCAUUGCACUUUGGAGGGGUGCUAGCCUAAGAUCGGCCCAAAUGGUCGAGUCUACGUCAUAAUUUGUGAUAGUGGAGGCCUCCAUUCGCGCGACCCCUAC